UAUACUCAAGGCGAAAGAAGGGACUCUUGAAGAAAGCUAAUGAGCUGUCAGUAUUGUGUGACAUUGACAUCUUUCUUGCCAUGUUUUCACCUGGUGGAAAGCCUAGUGUAUACAAGUCAGAUAACAGGUACUUUUUCUCACCAUGAUACCUCAGGAUUAAACCUUAAAUAUCCAUAUCAUAAUGUUAUAGGUCUUUGCAGAGAAAGCUAAUGGGUCAAUUAUUUUGUUGUAGGAAAUGUGAUUGUUACUUUUUCAUGCCAAGACAUUUUAUCCAUGUCUCCAAUUUAUGAGAUAUGAAGUAUUUUGUGGCAUCCACCUGAAUGAAAAUAGGCUAAUUUGAAUUAAUAUGCACCUUUAAAUCUAACAAACAUUUUUCACCAGGUGGAAAGCCUAGUGUAUACAAGUCAGAUAACAGGUACUUUUUCUCACCAUGAUACCUCAGGAUUAAACCUUAAAUAUCCAUAUCAUAAUGUUAUAGGUCUUUGCAGAGAAAGCUAAUGGGUCAAUUAUUUUGUUGUAGGAAAUGUGAUUGUUACUUUU
rnacentral:lncRNA from 1 species